rnacentral:rRNA from 1 species
GGUCCGAGUUGUAAUUUGUAGAGGAUGCUUUUGGUGAGGUGCCUUCCGAGUUCCCUGGAACGGGACGCCGGAGAGGGUGAGAGCCCCGUACGGUUGGACGCCAAACCUCUGUAUAGCUCCUUCGACGAGUCGAGUAGUUUGGGAAUGCUGCUCUAAAUGGGAGGUAAAUUUCUUCUAAAGCUAAAUACCGGCCAGAGACCGAUAGCGCACAAGUAGAGUGAUCGAAAGAUGAAAAGCACUUUGAAAAGAGGGUUAAAUAGCACGUGAAAUUGUUGAAAGGGAAGCGUUUGCGACCAGACUUUUUCCAGGCGGAUCAUCCGGCGUUCUCGCCGGUGCACUCCGCCUGGUUGAGGCCAGCAUCGGUUUCCUUAGGGGGAUAAAGGCCUGGGGAACGUAGCUCCUUCGGGAGUGUUAUAGCCCCUGGCGUAAUACCCCUCGGGGGACCGAGGAACGCGCUCUGCAAGGAUGCUGGCGUAAUGGUCGUCAACGACCCGUCUUGAAACACGGACCAAGGAGUCGAACAUUUGUGCGAGUGUUUGGGUGUCAAACCCUCACGCGUAAUGAAAGUGAACGGAGGUGAGAGCCCUUACGGGUGCAUCAUCGACCGAUCCUGAUGUCUUCGGAUGGAUUUGAGUAAGAGCAUAACUGUUCGGACCCGAAAGAUGGUGAACUAUGCGUGGAUAGGGUGAAGCCAGAGGAAACUCUGGUGGAGGCUCGCAGCGGUUCUGACGUGCAAAUCGAUCGUCAAAUCUGCGCAUGGGGGCGAAAGACUUAUCGAACCAUCUAGUAGCUGGUUACCGCCGAAGUUUCCCUCAGGAUAGCAGUGUUGUCUUCAGUUUUAUGAGGUAAAGCGAAUGAUUAGGGACUCGGGGGCGCUAUAUUGCCUUCAUCCAUUCUCAAACUUUAAAUAUGUAAGAAGCCCUUGUUACUUAGUUGAACGUGGGCAUUCGAAUGUACCAACACUAGUGGGCCAUUUUUGGUAAGCAGAACUGGCGAUGCGGGAUGAACCGAACGCGGGGUUAAGGUGCCAGAGUGGACGCUCA